AAUGUGAAGUUCUUGUGAUCUUGCUUGUUAUUUUGUUUCCUUUGUGAGCAUGAGUGAUGUAGGUUGCCUCGACGCAAAUUCUCAAAACUGUUUCUUCAAUGGGAAUCGGAAAAUU
rnacentral:lncRNA from 1 species